rnacentral:rRNA from 1 species
AGCUCCAAUAGCGUAUAUUUAAGUUGUUGCAGUUAAAAGCUCGUAGUUGGAUUUCGGUUGAGAGCGGCCGGUCCGCCGUUCGGUGUGCACUGGCUGGUCUCAGCUUCCUGCGGAGGACGCGCUCUGGGCUUAACGGUCUGGACGUGGAGUCCGCGUGGUUACUUUGAAAAAAUUAGAGUGUUCAAAGCGGGCUUACGCUUGGAUAUUUCAGCAUGGAAUAACACUAUAGGACUCCUGUCCUAUUUCGUUGGUCUCGGGACGGGAGUAAUGAUUAAGAGGAACAGUUGGGGGCAUUCGUAUUUCAUUGUCAGAGGUGAAAUUCUUGGAUUUAUGAAAG